GGGUUGUAAAGUACUUUCAGCGGGGAGGAAGGUGUUGUGGUUAAUAACCACAGCAAUUGACGUUACCCGCAGAAGAAGCACCGGCUAACUCCGUGCCAGCAGCCGCGGUAAUACGGAGGGUGCAAGCGUUAAUCGGAAUUACUGGGCGUAAAGCGCACGCAGGCGGUCUGUCAAGUCGGAUGUGAAAUCCCCGGGCUCAACCUGGGAACUGCAUUCGAAACUGGCAGGCUAGAGUCUUGUAGAGGGGGGUAGAAUUCCAGGUGUAGCGGUGAAAUGCGUAGAGAUCUGGAGGAAUACCGGUGGCGAAGGCGGCCCCCUGGACAAAGACUGACGCUCAGGUGCGAAAGCGUGGGGAGCAAACAGGAUUAGAUACCCCGGUAGCAGAUGGAGGCCGGA
rnacentral:rRNA from 1 species